rnacentral:rRNA from 1 species
UUAUUCAGAUACUUUGCAAGGGCUUAAGGCACCAGAGCCCAUCUGUUCUUAGAAGCUAAGCAGGGUCAGCCCUGGUUAGUAUUUGAAUGGUAGAUCACCUAUUAAUACCAGACACUGUAUGCU